UGAUAGCUCAGUCGGUUGAGCAUGGAUCUCAUAAUCUAAGGCUUGUGGGUUCGAGCCCCAUAUUGGGCAAAA